GGCGGUGUAGCUCAGCUGGCUAGAGCGUACGGUUCAUACCCGUGAGGUCGGGGUUCGAUCCCCUCCACCGCCACUA
rnacentral:tRNA from 1 species